UGAGCCGAGAAUGCAGUGGCAAAGCAAGAGUCCAGCUGGUAUCCAUGGAAACCAGUGAGACCCUAUACUACCUCAGACAUCCAGCCACUUAGCCAUCACCCUGUGACACAAACUGAAUAUUCUACAUGCAAAGCCCAUGACACAUGGGCCAGCAUGAGGACAUGGACCAGAGAAAUGGAAAAUUCACCUCUGUUCUCCGGUAGCUCUUCCCCACCUCACUCCCCAAAACACAAGUGAACUCACAGUUUUACCAUCUUAGAUCUAAAAGCAACUUAGAAGUUGUCAAGUGCUUCCUCCUUCCUACCCUAGGAUUUUCAGCCUUUGC
rnacentral:lncRNA from 1 species